rnacentral:tRNA from 1 species
UGGGAAUUAGCUCAGCUGGGAGAGCGCAUCGCUGGAAGCGAUGAGGUCAGGGGUUCGAGGUCCCUAUUCUCUACCA